rnacentral:tRNA from 1 species
GCAGUAGCACAACGGUCAGUGCGGCGGUCUCCAAAACCGUUGAUGGGAGUUCGAUUCUCUCCUGCC